rnacentral:rRNA from 1 species
GUGGGGAAUAUUGGACAAUGGGGGGAACCCUGAUCCAGCCAUGCCGAGUGUGUGAAGAAGGCCUUUUGGUUGUAAAGCACUUUAAGCGAGGAGGAGGCUACCGAGAUUAAUACUCUUGGAUAGUGGACGUUACUCGCAGAAUAAGCACCGGCUAACUCUGUGCCAGCAGCCGCGGUAAUACAGAGGGUGCAAGCGUUAAUCGGAUUUACUGGGCGUAAAGCGCGCGUAGGUGGCCAAUUAAGUCAAAUGUGAAAUCCCCGAGCUUAACUUGGGAAUUGCAUUCGAUACUGGUUGGCUAGAGUAUGGGAGAGGAUGGUAGAAUUCCAGGUGUAGCGGUGAAAUGCGUAGAGAUCUGGAGGAAUACCGAUGGCGAAGGCAGCCAUCUGGCCUAAUACUGACACUGAGGUGCGAAAGCAUGGGGAGCAAACAGGAUUAGAAACCCGGGUAGUCC